UAAAUGUAAGUUGACAAUACAUGUAAUUUGUAUGUCGACAGUAAAUGUAAGUUGACAAUACAUGUAAUUUGUAUGUUGACAGUAAAUGAUCACAGUUAGUUACAUGUAACAUAUAUAUGAAAAUACAUGUAAUUUGUAAGGUAAAUGAAGGGAAUAUUCACAGGAUGUACUUAUGUGGUUUACCAUGUCUAGUGAGUAUUUAACCACCAGAUAUUACUGUACAGAAACGAGACUUGUUUCAGACAUAACGUGAGUGCUCUGUUUAUGGAAAUUUGAAAGUUAAGCCAGUUUGAUCAAUUAUUUUUGCAACUUUGACCACCAGUAUUGAGAUUAUCAGCAAAAUGUAUUUAGAUAAUUUAUUGGGGGAAGGAUUAAGAACAACCCUUUAAAACAUUGUUCUGAAGUAAUUUGAACAAUUCAGUAAUUAAAAAGCAAACCUUUAAAUAUGUUUAUGGAUUCAAAGAUUCAAUAUUUCUGUAUACAUGCUUCUUAAUAUAGUAUCCCUUUAAAAAUUCUUUGUGCCAUCUGAAAAUAAGAAAAGGCGACAAGUCAGUGUUAAAGGUUUAUAGAUACUAUAUAUUUAUAUAGAUAUUUGCUGGUGAUAAACAAAUUAGAUUCUUUCUAUAUAAUAAUGCUUAUAUAGUACCUAUCACAUUUGCACAACCUCAUUUCAAACAUUUAGAUAAACUUACAGGUGUACUCGCUCACAGACUCUUUGUUUUGAGACCAUCAAUCAAGAUAAGGUGUCCGACACCUUCCAGCAGAACUUUGGUUGUUUAUAAUGUUUGGUGAUAUUGAUGUAAAAAACUCUAAAGUUAACACACUUUACUUUGUGAUUAAGAAUUUGAUAAUUUAUCACUAGACAGAUUUUUAUUGAUUUUCCACCUAGUAUGGUAAACAAACAGGUUACUUUCCAUCCGAAAUCAUUAGUCCUUACUCAGGUUUUUGUAAUUUACCUGGUAUCUACCCUAAACCAGGUGCUUCUGUUGGGCCCACGUCAAUAUAUGCCUUUCAGUACUUUUUUGAGCUAUCCCAUGUUGAUGAGAAUCAGAAUUUUUUUUUAGCUUAAGAUGAAAAUGCUGGCGGCUCUUGAUUUAGCUAUUGUUCUCUUUAGCAGUUUAAAUUUUAUUGAUCUAUAUGUGGGCCCGUCAUUUCACCAGAUUAAAGCUUUACAAAAUUUACCUGCUAUAUGAUAGCACAUUGGUGAGAAAAAAUUUGUAACAGGACUAUAAUCUACCCUUGUUGUUAUUUUUAUGUUGUUAUGGUAUUAUUGACCUUAUGAAUAUGCAUGACACAUAUAUAAUGUCAUAUAAAGCAAUAAAUUUGCUUCUUUUGAUGACAUUAUAGAUUUUAAACUGUAAAUACAUUUGUAGACUAAGUGUUUCUUGUAAAACAUUGUGAGUCGCCCCAUCAAAAUCUAGAUAGUUUCUGAAACAAUGACACAGUUGGUAUUAGGUACCAAGCAUUAGCUUUUCAAAGCCAUCGAAAAGUGUCAGUAAAUUCUAUCCAUCACAUGGGAAGACAUUAAGAUUGUGUCCAAAACUUGAAUUUUCAAGUUUCCCAUAACAGGUAAUAAAAAAGUUGUAUAAACUCAACAGGACAGGUGUAUUAAUAACCAGUCAGACUGUUGUUUUCAGUUAUAAUAAACGGGUUCUGUGAACAUCAGCUAGCAUUUAAAGUAGCAAUUUCCUGACUUUCAGAAUCUGUAUUAGCAAAGUUCAAUGUGGGGGAAUAAACAUGUGAUGAUAGUUUAACAGGCGUGCUAUUCCCAGUGUAUUAACAUGUUAAUGAUAUUGUGGAUGGAUCAUACAAAGGAUGUGUUUUGUGAUAGAUGAAUGGAGAGCAUGUCUGAAGUGAUAGAUGUAUGGAGAGCAUGUCUGAAGUGAUAGAUGUAUGGAGAGCAUGUGUGAAUGUAUAUAAUAGUUGUACAUAUGUAGUCAGCAGGAUUUAGUGUAAAUACAUGUGUGGUGAGAGUUAUAUAGAGCAUGUAGUAUUUAUUCACACAUUAUGUACCCCACACACCUUGUUUACGUACACAUGUAAGUAUUAAUUCUAUAUAAAUGUUUUCACUGGUGAAUGUUUAACCGAGGUCCUUUUUUCAUAGUGCCUCCACUAGAAUAUGGACCUGGAACUACAGACCACUAGUCCAGUUUCUCUACCAACUAAACUAAAGGAAAUGUCAGUAACAUAUAACUAGAUUUUCACCAUUGUGAUAAAUGUAUUUAUGCUUCCCUUGAAUUCAAUAAAAUCUUGAAUGGUUACACAGAUUGAGCGACAAGGCCAGUGGUAGAGCUAGGAUUAGGCAAUCAGCUUUAUGUAGAGAUAUAUAUAUAUAUGCAUCGUGAAGCUACUUUUUAGUAUUAUAUUUCCAUAUCUACUUAAGUUCAAGUCUGCUUUACUACCAAAUAGGUUUCAUUUUGCCCAUGAAAUUGAGUAGUUUUCCCUAACAACAUUGUGAGUAGGUCAACAAUGGUAAAUGUCGUCGUAGUUUAUGAUUCACACUGAUACUGUCUGAGAUUCUGCUGCUGAAUAUAUCUUAUGGCAACAUAAGGGUUGAAUAGUUGGUCUUGAAACAAAUUUACAUGAACAUUUCGUGUUAAUCAUCCCAUGGACAUGACUAAGCAGGAUUCAGUCUGAAGUACUGUAGUACCUGAUACAUAUGUUCUCUUUCAGGUUUUCACUCCAAUCACAACCGCAGUCAUCAAUGUUACUAUUACUAGUUUGAAUAAAAGCAUCAUAUAGUUUCCUGUGGUAGGUCUGUGUUAAGUCUGCUAUUGAAAUAAGCAAUGGUCACAUUUAUUGACAAGCAUUUAUUGCAUGGGUGUGAUUGUGUGUUUGUAGGCGAGUGUGUGCGUGUUUGUAGGCGAGUGUGUGUUUGGGUGUUUGAGUGUGUCCAUCAAUGAGAGUGUUUACGUCUGUUUGUAUAUAAUAAACAGCCCUACAUAAGAACAGUGGUAAUCAACUUAUUGGUUGAAUUUUUUUUAUCACUGCUUAUGAAUUUUCCUGUUAUGUAUUUAACAAAAAUGAAGAAACUUGCCUUUCAGCAGCUUUAGUUGUAUGACAAGAUGACCUAUGUAAGGCUUCAGUAAAGCUGAACUUUUGACCCGCCUUCCUUUACUAGUCCACCACAUUAUGGAUUGGUUCUCCACAAAAUGUAUACAUUUAUCAUUAUAUCUAUCUGUGAUUUAUAACAUAUAUUUAACAUUUUAGUGGAAUUGUGAUAUUUGUUCAUUUUCUAAAAAAAAACUACUAAAGAAUAUAAUUUCUUUGAUUUGACAGACACUGUUGGUUUUUUUCUUACUAACUUAACUUUCUUAAAAAUGAAAAUUUAAUGAUGUACAAACUAUGAACCAGCUUAAUACUUAAGUCACGACUCACAAAAUCAAUGUUUUGUUAUUUAAAAAUUGAACCAAAUUGAUUCCAUUUAUGAAGUGGCUAAUUCCUUGGAGAAUAUAUAUAUACAUCCAAUGGAGAAUAUAUAUAUACAUCCAACUGUUUUGAGAAUAUCUUUAGUCUGUCAGCAUUUUAUCAGCCAUUGGUGUUCGCUUUAUUGACGAGCUGCCAUGGUUUUUUUGUCUGUCAUUUUUGCUGUUAGCAUUAGUUUGUCCGCCUGGUGGUUAUAUUUCUGUGUUAGAUAUAUUUUUGUUGGACAGAAAUUUUGUGACAUGUAUACAAACGUGUAUGCUGUCGAAGUCCCUUCGUUAUUCACUUAGAGCAUUAUUUUUGUAUUGCAUGUAGAAUUUUUUGUGCAAGUUGUAGCUCAUCAGAUGGAGAUACGUAUGUAAUACUGUCAACAGCUAGGUGAUGUGUACAUGGCUUCAUACUAGCUAAUUACCAUAAUUACUCAUAAUGCGAACGAAAAGAACUUCUGCUGUACUUCAUUUUCCUGUGUGAGUAUAGGAACAUUACUAAGUAGAUUUCCUAGCUUGAAUGCUUUUCUAGUGUAUGUAGACUGUCAACAUACAUUUUGAAGUUUAAAUCUAAGUCUUGCUUGUUACUCACAGUGAUUAGGAUUCGUAAUUUGAUAAAAAAAAAUAGGUAUUAUUUAAGGAAUGAUUUUUAUUUUUUCAACAUUUAUGAGGUCAUAACAACAAUGGGUUUAUGGACAUAUUGAAUGAAUCGCGUUAGGUAUUAUUACACAAUAAUCCUAUACGAUCAUAUUAUUAAUUCUGCUGCCAUUUAAAAGCACAAAGAUCUGAUAUAGAUAACUAUUCAAUCUAUCCAAAAACAAAACUAAUAGUAACCACUUAUAUUUGUAUACCCCCUGCAACAAAGUUUGGAGGGAAGGGAGGUAUACUUGAACCCGGUUGUCUGUAAAUACAACUUGGUUCACACUACGGAGAUGUGAGAAAAGUAUCACUGAUAUCAGGCUUAGGCAUUUUAUGUGAAAUGAAAGAAAGCAAACACUUGGCCUUAUUUAUCGGUCAUUCAGGUUGUGACAACUAGCAACUAUUGGUGGUAACAUUUUAACUUUCUUGACAUGCAAUGAUUCUCUUAAAAGAAGAAAAACAUCAAUUGCAAAAGGAAUCAAAACAAAUUGUCAUAGUUUCUGUACAGAUAAAUCCCAUUACCGUCGAUGUGUUGGUGUGUAUACCACAGCGUUCAUCGCACAUUAGUAGUAGAAAUGUUCAUAACAGAUCCUUUAAAGGUUUUUAUAUGUUGUCUCUAAAAUACACCUGUAUUUUUUAAUUCAUUUAACUUUCACACUAUCCAGAACUCAAAACCAGAUUCACUUCAAAAUGUCAUAAAUUCUUUAUAUUUGUAAACGGAAGUUAAAGUAGGGUAAUUUCAGUGUAUUGUACAGUUUUGUUGUAACCAUGGUUGUCAUUUGCUAAAAACGACAAGUUUGCAGUCUCGGGUUGUAAAUGUUUCACACAAUAUUGAUGACAAUACAUUUGCUAUAAGUAUUAUAUAUUGACAGUAUGGCCAUGCAUGAUCUUAUAAUGUUGAUGGGGGCAUUUAGACCUAACAAAUAAAUAAUUAUCGAAUACUGAUGGCAGUAUUAAAUUGGUCCGAUUUAAAUGUCAGCAAAAACUGAAACAUCCCCUACCAGGAGAUGUAUACCAGCUCCCCAGUCAGGGUUGUCAUGGCGAUCAAAUCAGGUACCUCUCUAAGUGUGACAGGUGAGAGAGCAGGUGAAGCAUGGAUGUAGACUGAGAGUGACACACAGAAAUAUUCUGCAUUCACAAGUGGUGACAUGUGAAUACUAAUACGAAUGAAGGUGCUUUUAUAAAUAAAUGAAAACAAACAUAUCUUAA